UUUUUUUUUUUUUUUUUCCGAAGCAAGCUCGAUCUUCCGAGCGGUUGGGACAAGAAAUCUUGCUGUUCAACUAAAAAAAAGGAAAAGAAAAGGUUAAAACACAGAGAGAGUUGUACUAAAAAAAAUAAUAGUAAUAAAAAUUAAAAACACUUCGAGAGCGAAAGGAUUAACUUGCUAUUGUGAGAAAGCGUUUCAACGUGGUCUUAUAAGCUGCAAUGUAGACUUUAAUGGAUGUUUUGUUGAUUUAGUGUGGAUCAAUUGAAAAUGGCCAUGAUUUUGCUUUGCCUUUUCAUAUAUGCUGUUAUCCACGAGGUCUUUCGAAUGGUAUGAUGUGCUUCGCAUGCAGACAAAUUAAGGUAGAUAAAGGGUUUGUUGCCCAGGUAGCGGAUGUCGUUGGAGGAAGAAGUGCUCCUCUGAAUGCAGUGCAGAAGUUGGAAGCUGAAAAAACUGUUGUUGGUGAAUUCAGUAACAUCAAACAUGUAAGAGGUAAUCUUUCCAUGGGAAGGUAAAGUCUUUGCUGCUGCCUGCUAGGAACUUUCACCACUUGUAAUUUUAUUGAAUUCUUUUUCAUUUAAGUUUACAUAGAUAUUAUAAUUAAGCCUUUGUAUGAAAGUGGUUUUCUGAAAAUCACUUUUUCUCCACUCGUUUUUAACCACACACCCACAAAAAAAAAAA